rnacentral:rRNA from 1 species
GUAAGAGCGACGCUACUUAACCAUCGCGAACUCGUCCAAGUUGCUUCGGCGGCGCGGCCUCCCUCACGGGGGCGCCGCAGCCCCGCCUCUCCGGAGGUGUGGGGCGCCCGCCGGAGGUACGAAACUCUGUAUUAUAGUGGCAUCUCUGAGUAAAAAACAAAUAAGUUAAAACUUUCAACAACGGAUCUCUUGGUUCUGGCAUCGAUGAAGAACGCAGCGAAAUGCGAUAAGUAAUGUGAAUUGCAGAAUUCAGUGAAUCAUCGAAUCUUUGAACGCACAUUGCGCCCGCUAGUACUCUAGCGGGCAUGCCUGUUCGAGCGUCAUUUCAACCCUCAAGCCCUGCUUGGUGUUGGGGCCCUACGGCUGCCGUAGGCCCUGAAAGGAAGUGGCGGGCUCGCUACAACUCCGAGCGUAGUAAUUCAUUAUCUCGCUAGGGACGUUGCGGCGCGCUCCUGCCGUUAAAGACCAUCUUUAACUCAAGGUUGACCUCGGAUCAGGUAGGAAUACCCGCUGAACUUAAGCAUAUCAAA